rnacentral:rRNA from 1 species
UACGUAGGGUGCGAGCGUUGUCCGGAAUUAUUGGGCGUAAAGGGCUCGUAGGCGGUCUGUCGCGUCGGGAGUGAAAAACUCAGGGCUUAACCCUGAGCCUGCUUCCGAUACGGGCAGACUAGAGGUAUGCAGGGGGAGAACGGAAUUCCUGGUGUAGCGGUGAAAUGCGCAGAUAUCAGGAGGAACACCGGUGGCGAAGGCGGGUCUCUGGGCCGAUACUGACGCUGAGGAGCGAAAGCGUGGGGAGCGAACAGG